AAAUGGACGGUGGGCCUAGCCCGCCACCGCUUUAUGCGCCUCUUCUUGGGUCCUCAGGGGCCCUUGAUUUGGACACCACUUGUGAACCAGCCUGUUGCUUUGGCAGCAUCGGUGGGUCCCUCGCGGGGCCCUCCGCUGUCAGUCUGUCGUAAGUCCAGUCUAUAACUCUUUUGAAAAACUGAAGUCUGAAGUUUGAUAACACAAACAUAUUA
rnacentral:misc_RNA from 1 species